GAUGAACGCUGGCGGCGUGCCUAAUACAUGCAAGUCGAGCGAACAGACGAGGAGCUUGCUCCUCUGACGUUAGCGGCGGACGGGUGAGUAACACGUGGAUAACCUACCUAUAAGACUGGGAUAACUUCGGGAAACCGGAGCUAAUACCGGAUAAUAUAUUGAACCGCAUGGUUCAAUAGUGAAAGACGGUUUUGCUGUCACUUAUAGAUGGAUCCGCGCCGCAUUAGCUAGUUGGUAAGGUAACGGCUUACCAAGGCAACGAUGCGUAGCCGACCUGAGAGGGUGAUCGGCCACACUGGAACUGAGACACGGUCCAGACUCUUACGGGAGGCAGCAGUAGGGAAUCUUCCGCAAUGGGCGAAAGCUUGACGGAGCAACGCCGCGUGAGUGAUGAAGGUCUUCGGAUCGUAAAACUCUGUUAUUAGGGAAGAACAAAUGUGUAAGUAACUAUGCACGUCUUGACGGUACCUAAUCAGAAAGCCACGGCUAACUACGU
rnacentral:rRNA from 1 species